GUUAAGGUGGCAGAGCCCGGUAAUUGCAUAAAACUUAAAGUCUUUAAAGCCAGAGGUUCAACUCCUCUCCCUAACA
rnacentral:tRNA from 1 species